rnacentral:rRNA from 1 species
AUGUUUAUUAAUGUUUCUUCAUGUUUGGCAGUGAUAUGGGUUUCCAUGACCCUUCCAUGGUGCUCAGCCACCGUCCGAUUUCGAGGGAGAAUAGGAGACCCCGACGACGAAAACGAGCUUCCUAGUGGCGAACCCAAGGAUGCCGGUGAUUACGGCAGGUCCAUGCUCCAGUUCUUCUAUUGGGCUACUCCCCCAAUGGUGAAAAUCCCCUACAGAAUGGUGCUGGAUGACCUUUUAGAAUCUUUGGGCCUGCCAGUGGCUGAGUAUCAAACCAAAGCAUGCGAGGGUGGUUUGAAGUAUUCGCUCAGUUCAUGUGCUUGGGAUUUGUUUUGA